rnacentral:rRNA from 1 species
GGCGACCAUAGCGUUUUGGACCCACCUGACUUCCAUGCCGAACUCAGAAGUGAAACGAAAUAGCGUCGAUGGUAGUGUGGGGCUUCCCCAUGUGAGAGUAGAACAUCGCCAGGC